ACCCUGGACUGUGUUAGAAGUAAUUUCAAAACAACUGAUUGAACUCAAAGUGUUCUGUUCCUUCAAACAUGAAUGCAAACUUCUUGAGAUAAUUAGCUUUGACAUUUCUUCUUCUAAGGACAACUUGAAAGCCCUUUAUUACACCAAUGCAGUGAAGCUUGUUUACUGGCAUGGAAAGUUCUGCAUGGAAGCACUGAAACGUCACCCAGGAUAUCCUGACAAAGGGGGAGGAGCUUGGCCAGUGUGACAGCAAGAUGCAAUUUACUGCUGGAAUGUCUACAAGAGGGAAACAAAACUACAGCUGCUCAUUUUUGAUUGAGAUGAUGAGUGACAAGACAUUGUUUCAUAACUCAGCAGCACAAAGCAUCCUGAAGAAAAUGUGAGGUUGUAACACACAUCAUUUUCUAGGGUUGCCCCUUAAAUGACAUCUUGAGGGUACUCUUCCUCUGCUGUAGUCCAAAAGUAUGCAAAACAUCCCAUGUCCUCCUGGUCUGAUUGGGAAACUGUUUUAUGUUUUUAUCUCUGUUUAAGUUUUUGCUAUGUGAAAAACGAAAUAAGUACAAAGUAAUUUUAUUCUCUAGAGUGCAAUUACUGAAUAGGUUGAUAAAAAGACCUUGCACAGAAGAAUAAAGGGCUUAAAAAGAAAUUUCACUUAUGCAUCCUCAAUCCAAUAACCCAUACCUUUUUCAAUAUUAUGCUAUUGACAAGUGUCAUAUCAGUUUGCUGUUUCCCUCAAUGUCUUAAUUAUUAAAUAUAGUAGAAGUAAAAUUCUGUGGCCUUUUGUCUGAACCUUUUUCCUCUGGGAAAAAAAAAAAAAAAAAAAAUCCCUGAAAAAAAGGAACACACACUCUGGAACCCCUCUACAAGGCCAUAUGAAGUUCCACAU